rnacentral:rRNA from 1 species
GACAGAGGAUGCAAGCGUUAUCCGGAAUGAUUGGGCGUAAAGCGUCUGUAGGUGGCUUUUUAAGUCCGCCGUCAAAUCCCAGGGCUCAACCCUGGACAGGCGGUGGAAACUACCAAGCUGGAGUACGGUAGGGGCAGAGGGAAUUUCCGGUGGAGCGGUGAAAUGCGUAGAGAUCGGAAAGAACACCGGUGGCGAAGGCGGCCAUCUGGACCGGCACUGACGCUGAGGCGCGAAAGCGUGGGGAGCAAACAGG